CAUGAUUACCAUUCAUAUCCUUCACAGUGUUCCUAAUAGAUAGUUAUUAUUACACUAUCUUUAGCAACACUUUUGAGAUAAGGAUGGGAUAACGCUGCAAGAAUAAGUAUAAA
rnacentral:pre_miRNA from 1 species